UAAACAGAGUUGUGGUUGUAUUGCGAAAUGAAUAAAAUGUAAGGUACCCGGUAAUAGUUAAUCUAUGAAACGCUGCAAAAUCUGAACGAUCAAUAGUAAUGCCGGUAAUUGUUGCAUGCCAUGAGAAUGAAAUACUCGUUGUUUCAGGUUGUUGUCUUCAUGAGCCAAAAAUAGUAAAAGAUGGAGUAACUUUCGUAUGGCCAGUACUUCAGACAGGGGACAGAUUGUGCACCAAACCUUUUGUUAUAAAAGUAGACCUCAAGAAUCAGCCAACCCAAAACGUCACAGUAUUUGUAAAUCUAAAGGCCGAGGUUUCUAUGGGAAUUGCAGUGGAUCAUGAUGAGCUUUUACGUGAAGCAAUUAGUUCAUUUCUGUCUAAAUCACAAGAUCAAAUACAAAAGGCUUUACAAGGAACUGUUGAAGGUAUUCUGAGUACUGUUUUAGGAGCAGUGCUUCCAGAGGACUUGAAGACUAAGGCAGAAGCUUGUAAAAGAGGAGUAUUUGAAAGUCUCGCUUCUGAGUGUAUAAAUAUGGGCAUCUGUGUUAAAAGUAUCAAUGAUUUUGAGGUUUCUAAUGACCAUGGGUUUUAUAAAAAUUUGGAAACGAAAUAAAUGAAACUAAAGCCAAGGAAAAUGAUGAAUUUAAAUUAAAAUAUGACUAAAAUAAACCUGUUUGUACUAAUGCAUAAAAUUUGGCUUGGUGUAUGAAAAAAUGGACAAUUUGUAAAAAUUUUACAAAUGAAAUUCAGUAGACGAUAAAUAUUUAUAUUAUAUGUAUAGUUGUGAGAGAAGAGAUGUCAGUCUAAUUGAGUGAGAGUGAUGAAACUUGAGGUAUAGUUUCAUUAUAUCAAUACUACGACCAAGUGAUAAGCAAUUUGAUUGCCCAAUGCUUUAUGAAAAGAUAAAUGUGCAAGCAAUUUUCUAUGACUUAUUUCAUUUCCAAGUAUAUGCGUUGGAUGUUUUUUGUCUAGUAAAACCCAGUUUCUAAUAAAUUUCAAAAAUUGAAUGCAAUAAAUCGGUUCAGUAGAUGUUGAGAAAAAUGCAUUUUUUAUACAAAGAUACCAUAUAAUUCGUUCUAUAUUGGUAUCAUUUGUAAUCGCUUGAGUCAAUUCAAGUCCUGGGUUAAGGUGGUGUAGUGUUUAACACCAGUUAGAUCAGUGUAGCACUAGUGUAAUGCUGGGCUUACUCAACCUCUGUAUUUGAAAUCAAUCCUAGUUUUGUGCAACAUUAUCUCCAGUUACGUAAAAAUUUGUUAGAUAAUAAUAGCUUGAUAAAAGAUAUUAUUUUGUUAAAAAUAACUCUAGCACUAACCCGUAGUUGUUAAAAUCUAAGUACAAGUCAUUUAUUACAACACUGGUGUGAAACAGCAGAUGGCAAAAAGGGAAUGUCUUUUAAGGCUUUUAGAUUUAGUUUUAAGGCUUAAAAUGAUUUUAACCCAUAUAUGGACAAAACAUAAGACAAAGAAAUGUUGGUCGCAGACCUGCUGGUUUACGAGAAUUUCAGAUGGGAAAUUUCGACUAAAUAAUGAUCAAAUGAGACAACAACCAGCGACUACCAGGCAGGAUACGCCCACAUUUUGCAAGAGAUGGAUAGAGAACUAGCUAAAAACAAACCAGAUUUUUUGUACAAUCAGGGGCAAUAAUCCAGAAAGUUAUGGUCUGAAAUGCGCAAAUAUCAAAAGGGACUGAGAUCUUUGAGAUAUAAAGAUAAGUUUUAAGUUUCAUCAAAAUCGCAUAAAAAUUGUGACCUCUAGAGGGUCCACAACCUUCAUAUUGCAUACUUUUACACAAUGUGCUUAUAAAGAGCGGCCAUUUUGUCAGGCAGUUUCAUUUCGAUUUUCCCGAAAUUCGAAUUCAACCUUCAUUAUGGUGGAAUGGUGAUAUAUUUAAACGGUUUUUAAAAUCAGAAGAAAAAAAUUGUGCAAGCUAAAAAUGCGAUUUUUUGAACAAUCAGGAGCCAUAAUCCAGGAAGUUACGUUCGGAUAUUAUCACAAGGAACCACGAUCUUAGUGUGUAAUGGUGAUGUAUUCACAUGUUUUGUUUUUUUUAAAUCGGAUAAAAAUUGUGAACUCUAAAGGGACCACAAGCUAAAAACGUACAAUCAGGGGCCAUAAUUCAGGAAGUUACGAUCCGAUAUGUGCGAAUAUCAAAAGGAACCUAGAUAUUUGGGUUAUAAACAUGUAUUUCAAGUUUCAUCCAAAUCGGAUCAAAAUUGUGAACUCGAGAGGGUCCACAACUUUGAUAUACCAGAUGCAUGUUUAGACUAAUUAGUGUACGAGGGGUGGCCAUUUUGUCCGGCAAUUUUCGUCCGAUUUUCACGAAAUUCGAAUUCAACCAAAAUUACGGUGUAACGGUGAUAUAUUUGAACGGUUUUUUUUUUAAAUCGGAUUUUUCGUACAAUCAGGAGCCAUAAUUCAGGAAGUUACGAUCAGAUAUGCGCGAAUAUCGUUAGGAACCAAGAUCUUUGGGUUAUAAACUUACAUUUCAAGUUUCAUUAAAGAAGAAAAUUGUGGCCAUUUUGUCUGGUUUUUGUCCGAUUUUUACGAAAUUCGAUCUCAACCAUCCUUAGGGUGUAACGGUGACAUGUUCAAACGGUUUUUUAAAUCGGAUAAAGAUUCGUACAAUCAAGAGCCAUAAUUCAGGAAGUUACGGUCCGAUAUAUGGCUUAUCCCUCAUUUCAGCCAAAACGCCGAUACAACUCUUCUAGAUCCUAGUGUAGUAAAUAUAAAAGGCAAGUAAAACGAAAUUUUGAACAAUAAAAAACGAAAUGAAAUAGGAUCUGUGUUUAAUCAGGUUGGUGUUAAACACUACACCACCAUAGACUUGAAUGAACUCAAUCUAUAUUAUUAUUAAUUAAACUCAAGCUGUGCCCAGCUAAUACAUAUUUUUAAAUGAUGGAAAUAAUUUCAAUUGUUUUAAAUGGUGCCCCUAGAAUAUUUUUAUUACUGAUGAAUAUGUAAUGAUAUUUUUAAUUAUUUAUAAGUUGUUAUACGCCCACAUUCCACAUUUCCAUGUGGACAUAUUAUGUCGUCGCCCAUAUUAAUUAUACUCAAGUUGUGCCCAUAACUAAUAUAUCUUUUUAAAUGAUGGAAAUAUUUUCAGUUGUUUUAAAUGGUGCCCCUAGUAUAUUUUUAUUACUGAUAAAUAUAUUAUGUAAUGAUGUUUUUAAUUAUUUAUAAAUUGUUAUACGCCCACAUUCCACAUUUUCAUAUGGAUGUAUUAUGUCGUCGCCCCUGUCAGUCUUGAUUCAUUUUGAUAUUGUUAUGUAUCGGAUCAAAACUUCAUGAAUCAUGGCCCUAGAUUGUACGAAAAAUCACAUUUUUAGCUUGUAGACACUCUAGAGGUCACAAUUUUUAACCGAUUUAGAUGAAACUUGAAAUGUAUGUUUAUAACCAAAAGACCUUGGCCCCUUUCGAUAUUCCCGCAUAUCGGAAAGCAACUUUCUAGAUUAUGGCUCCUGAUAUAUGAAAAAUCUCGUUUUUAACUUGUCCCCCCCCCCCCCGAGGUCACAAUUUUUACCUGAUUUAAAAACAACGUUCAAAUAUAUCACCAUUACACCAUGAUGAUCGUUGAGUUUGAGUUUCGUUAAAUCGGACCAAAAUUGCUGUACGCAAUGGCCACUUCUCUAUGCAAAUGGUGUAAUUUUUAUCCGAUUUUGAUGAAACUUAAAAUGCAAAAAUGUGGGUUCCUUUCGAUACAUGCGCAUAUCGGAUGGUAACUUCCUGAAUUUUGGCCCCUGAUUGUAUGAAAAAUCUUUUUUUUUAGCUUCAGGAACCUGCAGGUCACAAUUUUUAUUUGAUUUAAAAAAAACGUUUAAAUAUAUCACCGUACCCCACCUUUUUCCGGUCUUGAUGAAACUUAAAAUAUAUGUUUCUAUCCAAAAGAUCUUGGUUCCUUUUGAUAUUCGUGCAUAUCGAACCGUAAUUUCCUGGAUUAUGGUCCCUGAUUGUACCAAAAGUUGAAUAUUUUUUUUAGCUUGUUCUCUAUCCAUCUCUCGCAAUAUGUGGGCGUAUAUUGCAUGGAAACUGCUUGUUUUGAAUUGUUUUAUUAUUCUUGUAUGAUUAGUCUCUUCCUAAGAUGUAUAUAUUUUAAACUAAGUAUUGUCUAUGUUUUAUAUUCUAUAAACUUACAUAUUAUGUACCUAUUAUUCACUCUAAUUUAAAAUAAUGCAUUUUAGAAAAACUAAAAUAGUUGGCAGGGAGGAAGAUACUGAGAAAUGUAUUGAGAUAUUAAUGAAGUGUGGUUCACAUUGAGCCUGGAUUUGUCUGUGCUGGUGGUGCUGUCUGUGCUGCAGGUACCGUGUCCCAAAAUGAUUUUUCAGAAUGUGCUUGUAUCUGGUGAAUUAUAAGGUUAUCUCCGAAGAUUGAAAGAUCCAAAUGACAAUGUGAUCAUUUUUGGACACUAAAUAUCCCAAGUUGAAAAUUGCAUAGGUAACACAAUUUGGCUACCGAUAUUUUAGUAUUUUUAUUUUUCAUUUUCAAAAUAUCUUAGUGAUGUAUUAUUUGUCAUGCUUACACAUCGUUAUAUCUGUGACACAAAGUUUGGGCAAUGGAUGGCCAUAUCAAAUGUCAACACCCUCAUAGACUUUGGUAUGAUAUAUAUUAGUUUUACCCAAACUGUUCACCAGCCUUUUGGAAGCCAUGGUGGCUCAGUGAGUAAGAUGUUGGCUCGCUAACCUAGCGGUUCCGUGUUCUAUCAGUGCAUUGGCUGAAAAUGUUCAUCAGGAUUUUUUGGCGUGACUCCCCCCUGUCAGUGGUGCAGGACAGAGGGCCUUGCAAGGGACAACAUAUGGAAACAAAAACUAAGGUCCCUGUGUACACAUUGGCAUGCGCAUAAAAGAUCCCUUGGCAGUUGGAAUUCAUAUAAGAAUAGGCUGUAGCGAUGUUGUCUGGGCAAAAUUUCCCUCAUGGCACACUGUAUGGCUUAUGACGUUAAACCCAAUUCAUUUUAUUUCCACCAGCCUUUUACAUUUAAACACUAUAUUUUUCUACUAUCUGCUAGCUGUAUCAUAUUUAAUUCAUAAUUUUGAUCUAUAAUUGUUUUAUGAAGUUUAUAUUGCAUAUUAAAUCUACAAUUUAGUUUAUAAUUUUAUACAAAAUAAUAAAAUCUAUUGAAAUGCG